UUAUUUUGGGAGAAAGUUUAUAUAGAAUUGCUGAUACUCGCCGUCUUCAUUGUCGUCGAAGUAGGCGACUCGGUCCUCUGUGGAAACCAACCAUCGCCCGCUGGAUGUUCUGCUCCGCCGUGUUGUAUCUAUAUUGUGUUCUUGUUGUUGUUGUUGCUCUGAUUCUCUGAUCGCCAUGAGUAAGAAGCGACGGUCUGAUGCUGAUACGGCUUUCCCCGGUCUUCGCCAGCUUCUCUGUGAUGUUUUCUUCCGUCGCCGGCGUUUUUACUAUCAUGUUUUGCCGCUUCUUUCCGCACUUGCUGGUUGUGUUUUUGUUUGCUUUGUUGCUCUGUUUCUUCUUGUUGCUUCUCCUGUUGUUCAUCGUGAUCAUCUUCACUUGACUCUCUUUCAUGGCGGAAGCUCGAUAGACCAAGGCAUUGAGGAUGAAUCGAGUUCUAAUUUGGAAAUGAAAUCAAUCAUCGGCGUUUCGGGAAGUGGAGGCAGAUUCGAACGUGAUGUAUGGGUCACGGAUCAAUCGAGUUUCUUCUAUGGCUGUAGCAAUGCUAGCAAGAAGUUCACACCGGCCGCUGAGAAAACCGAUCCCGACAGAUACUUGCUGAUUACUACGAGUGGAGGCCUUAAUCAGCAAAGAACAGGGAUAACAGAUGCUGUUGUUGCAGCUUACAUUUUGAAUGCCACUCUAGUUGUUCCCAAGCUGGAUCAAAAUUCAUUUUGGAAGGAUAGCAGCAAUUUUGCAGAAAUUUUUGAUGAGGACUGGUUUAUUAAAUUUCUCUCGAAUGAUGUUCAAAUCAUCAAGGAUUUACCAAUGGAAGUUGGGAAAACUUUGACUCCUCAUAGGAUGCGUGUUCCAAGGAAGUGUGAUCCAGAAUGCUAUGAAAAACAUGUCCUUCCUGUUCUUAAAAAGAAGCAUGCUGUUCGGCUUGGAAAAUUUGAUUAUAGGCUUUCAAAUAGGCUGACAACUGACUUACAGAAGUUAAGAUGCAGAGUUAACUAUCAUGCAUUAAAGUUUACUGAAGAGAUCAAUGAAAUGGGCCAAGCAUUGGUUGAGAGGAUGAAGAUCAAAAGCAAACAUUUUAUUGCCCUACAUUUGAGGUUUGAGCCUGACAUGCUUGCAUUUUCUGGCUGUUAUUAUGGUGGGGGGAAAGAUGAGAAGGAAGAACUUGGAAAAAUUCGGAAGAGAUGGAAAAGCUUACAUGCAAGCAAUCCCGAUAAGGAACGAAGGCAGGGAAGAUGCCCUCUUACUCCCGAAGAAGUCGGUCUGAUGCUUCGAGGGCUCGGCUUUGGAAGUGAUGUGCACCUUUAUGUGGCAUCUGGUGAAGUAUAUGGAGGAGAAGAAACUCUAGCUCCACUGAAAGCAAUGUUUCCAAAUUACCAUACCAAGGAGACUCUUGCCAGCCCGGAAGAGUUGGCACCCUUUUUGCCAUUUUCGUCUCGUAUGGCUGCGAUCGACUUCAUUGUUUGUGACGAAAGCAAUGUUUUUGUCUCGAACAACAAUGGGAACAUGGCUAAGAUUUUAGCAGGACGAAGGAGAUACUUCGGUCAUAAACCAACCAUCCGUCCGAACGCUAAAAAGCUGAACCGACUAUUCAUGGACCGAAACAACAUGACAUGGGAACAAUUUUCAUCCAAGGUCCAAUCUUAUCAAGUUGGCUUCAUGGGAGAGCCAAAUGAGGUGAAGCCAGGGAGAGGUGAGUUCCAUGAAAACCCAUCAGCCUGCAUUUGCGGGAAUUAUGACUCACAUGUCAUGAGUGACCCAUCUCAUGUCAACCAAAUUCAUCACAAUCACACCGAAGACGUCAAUGAAAACAACCAUGGCUACAACGAAACGAGCAAUUCGACAAAAGAACAAACCGCAACAGAAGACGACCAAGAAUGGACUGGAUUGGAAUAUUUAGACAUCGGAAACGACUUGGGAGAGAGAAGAUUGCACACUCUCAUUGACUCUGAUCUUGGCGUUCGACCCAAACCCGAACAACCAGAAUUGGAAGAGUUAUUUUCAGACUAAAAAGACGGUUUGUACGUGUCACAAAAAUAAGAAUUCUAGAGCGGGAGAAACUUUUAGAGCAAUUUAAGAAGAGAAACUGUGACAAAAGAGCAGAUUAUGACGAAGAAAAAAAGCACAAGCUACCUCGUUCUUGCUCCUGCUUUUUUCAUACUGAUCUCUAGUUGAUGUUGGCUAGAAGCAACCUCCGUUUUUGGUGAGGAGCACCUCUUCAAACUAAAGAAAAGAAUUGUUAUAAUCAAUAUUAAAUAUCGUACA